CCAACCAGCCGCCCUGAGGUGGGUGUUGGAAUCAUGCCCAUUUUAGAGAGCAAUAAACCAAGGCUUUGAAACAGACGGUCAAGAACUGGCUCGAGGUCACACACAGACCGUUCCCAGCUGGAUAUAAUGAAAAGCAUCAAUCUUCAUCAAGACCGCCUUCAAAAACACAAGCACACGCACAGAUCUCAGAAGUAGAAUCCCAGUGACCCCACUGGUAGCAGGCCCUACCAUGCCCAUUUGACAGAAGGGACCUCAGAGGCUUCGGAUAAGACAAGCUGGCCCAGGCCACACAGCAGGGGUGUGGAGGGGCAUGGGGUCAGGGUCUCCCCGCUGCCCCUGCGCUCAGAGCGUGGACCUACCAGCCAGAAUAUCCACUCCUGCGUCCAGGGAGGCUGUGUCCCCACGACCUCCCAGUCAUGAUGGAAUCUGCUCAUGUAAAGGCCGAGGCCACCAUCAGCCAGCACGGCAGCCCCCCCGCGUGACUGCACUGCCAUCUCCUCGUGCGCAGCCAAGGUCACGCGUGUGCAAGAACGCCUCCUGGAACCACCAGGCUGACCCACACGCAGGGAGUAACUCCAGCCAAGCUGCACAAAGCGCUGAGUCAAAUGUCACAUUUGGGCUCAUUUAUCUAACACCCUUCACGUGUGCCAAGAAAUCACUCGAUGCUAUUUAUUUCCACUCCUGGGCAUUUCCAAGAAUCCUGCACACCGUGUAUGGUCGUUCAUUUUUACUAACACACUUCACACACAUAGACACACAUACACGGAAACUCUGGUUGGGAACACCGUUAACAGUAACAUCUGGUCGAGGAAGUCAAAGACGCUCCCAUCAGCCAGGAAGUGACACGUCUCUCCAAUGACCUACAGCUAGAUUUUCUGGACUCAUAUAGCUUAGAAAGUGAUCGCCAGCCAGAAAAACAUGACUCACCCAGCGUGUCAUGAAAAUGACUGGUGUCCCUGACAGCAGAAGAACUAUAAACAAUAAAAGACCUUUACUUGGGGUUUUA